CGCGUAGGCGGAUGUUUAAGUCAGAGGUGAAAGCCCAGGGCUCAACCUUGGAAUUGCCUUUGAUACUGGACAUCUUGAGUAUGGGAGAGGUGAGUGGAACUCCGAGUGUAGAGGUGAAAUUCGUAGAUAUUCGGAAGAACACCAGUGGCGAAGGCGACUCACUGGCCCAUUACUGACGCUGAGGCGCGAAAGCGUGGGGAGCAAACAGGAUUAGAUACCCUGGUAGUCCACGCUGUAAACGAUGAGUGCUAGUUGUCGGCAUGCAUGCAUGUCGGUGACGCAGCUAACGCAUUAAGCACUCCGCCUGGGGAGUACGGUCGCAAGAUUAAA
rnacentral:rRNA from 1 species